CCAGCAGAGCAGCUUUAUGGGACGUUAUGACUGCCAAUGAGUGGCUCAGAGGCCGGAAGUCACCAGAGUGAAAACGUGACUCAUCUCUCUACGCUGAAGGCUGUAUUAUGGGCAAAUGGUGGAGCCGAAUUGGAAAGGAAUUUGGACUAGAAGUGAAUUUCACCACCCAAGUGGAUAUUCAAAAGAAGAUGGCUGAAUCCAAAGGGCGAUCGAGUGGUACCUGUGCCAAGACUCAAUUCUCCCUGAAUAAAUUAGGAAGUAAAAAAAUGUCAAAGACAUGGUGCAAGCAAUGGAAGAAGUAAAUUAAGAUGGCUUUGGAGCUCACGGAUUUUAAGGCAACAGAUGGACUUCCCACCUAACAGACUGGAUCCCAAGAAGCAGAAAACAUUCUUGCCAAAGGCUAAACAGAUCCCAAAUUAAGACUUGAGAGCUUGAAAGAAAAUAGAAUUGUUGGUGGAGGAAUGAACAAGAAUGAAUCCGCUUUCCCCAAAAUUCUGAGGGGAGGAUCUGGACAGCGUAAACCCGAAACUGGGAAUUUCAAAGCCUGAGUGGAAUGGGAAUGGGAAUGUGUACCAGGAUGCUUGGCCAGAAAGCAAAAAUGGCUCUGGGGGCCGAAAUGGAAAAUUCCCAUGAGGGGAAUGUGUUUGAAAAAAAGGAAAGGAGAUCUGGA